rnacentral:rRNA from 1 species
AGCAGCCGCCGCGGUAAUACGUAGGGUGCGAGCGUUAAUCGGAAUUACUGGGCGUAAAGCGUGCGCAGGCGGUUGUGUAAGACAGGUGUGAAAUCCCCGGGCUUAACCUGGGAACUGCGCUUGUGACUGCACAGCUAGAGUAUGGCAGAGGGGGGUGGAACUCCACGUGUAGCAGUGAAAUGCGUAGAGAUGUGGAGGAACACCGAUGGCGAAGGCAGCCCCCUGGGCCAAUACUGACGCCCAUGCACGAAAGCGUGGGGAGCAAACAGGAUUAGAUACCCGAGUAGUCCCUGUCUCUUAUAC